rnacentral:rRNA from 1 species
AUUGAACGCUGGCGGCAGGCUUAACACAUGCAAGUCGAACGAUGACUCUCUAGCUUGCUAGAGAAGAUUAGUGGCGGACGGGUGAGUAACAUUUAGGAAUCUGCCUAGUAGUGGGGGAUAGCUCGGGGAAACUCGAAUUAAUACCGCAUACGACCUACGGGUGAAAGGGGGCGCAAGCUCUUGCUAUUAGAUGAGCCUAAAUCAGAUUAGCUAGUUGGUGGGGUAAAGGCCUACCAAGGCGACGAUCUGUAACUGGUCUGAGAGGAUGAUCAGUCACACCGGAACUGAGACACGGUCCGGACUCCUACGGGAGGCAGCAGUGGGGAAUAUUGGACAAUGGGGGCAACCCUGAUCCAGCCAUGCCGCGUGUGUGAAGAAGGCCUUUUGGUUGUAAAGCACUUUAAGCAGGGAGGAGAGGCUAAUGGUUAAUACCCAUUAGAUUAGACGUUACCUGCAGAAUAAGCACCGGCUAACUCUGUGCCAGCAGCCGCGGUAAUACAGAGGGUGCGAGCGUUAAUCGGAAUUACUGGGCGUAAAGCGAGUGUAGGUGGCUCAUUAAGUCACAUGUGAAAUCCCCGGGCUUAACCUGGGAACUGCAUGUGAUACUGGUGGUGCUAGAAUAUGUGAGAGGGAAGUAGAAUUCCAGGUGUAGCGGUGAAAUGCGUAGAGAUCUGGAGGAAUACCGAUGGCGAAGGCAGCUUCCUGGCAUAAUAUUGACACUGAGAUUCGAAAGCGUGGGUAGCAAACAGGAUUAGAUACCCUGGUAGUCCACGCCGUAAACGAUGUCUACUAGCCGUUGGGGUCCUCGAGACUUUAGUGGCGCAGUUAACGCGAUAAGUAGACCGCCUGGGGAGUACGGCCGCAAGGUUAAAACUCAAAUGAAUUGACGGGGGCCCGCACAAGCGGUGGAGCAUGUGGUUUAAUUCGAUGCAACGCGAAGAACCUUACCUGGUCUUGACAUAGUGAGAAUCUUUCAGAGAUGAGAGAGUGCCUUUGGGAACUCACAUACAGGUGCUGCAUGGCUGUCGUCAGCUCGUGUCGUGAGAUGUUGGGUUAAGUCCCGCAACGAGCGCAACCCUUUUCCUUAUUUGCCAGCGGGUUAAGCCGGGAACUUUAAGGAUACUGCCAGUGACAAACUGGAGGAAGGCGGGGACGACGUCAAGUCAUCAUGGCCCUUACGACCAGGGCUACACACGUGCUACAAUGGUAGGUACAGAGGGUUGCUACACAGCGAUGUGAUGCGAAUCUCAAAAAGCCUAUCGUAGUCCGGAUUGGAGUCUGCAACUCGACUCCAUGAAGUCGGAAUCGCUAGUAAUCGCGGAUCAGAAUGCCGCGGUGAAUACGUUCCCGGGCCU